UUGGAUUAGUGGCGAACGGGUGAGUAACACGUGAGUAACCUGCCUUUGGGUUCGGGAUAAGCCUGGGAAACUGAGUCUAAUACCGGAUAUUCCUUCUUCAUCUCAUGUUGGGGAAGGGAAAGGUUUAUCUGCCGAAAGAUGGACUCGCGGCCUAUCAGCUUGUUGGUGAGGUAAUGGCUCACCAAGGCGAUGACGGGUAGCCGGCCUGAGAGGGCGACCGGCCACACUGGGACUGAGAUACGGCCCAGACUCCUACGGGAGUGCAGCAGUGGAAAAUAUUGCACAAUGGGCGAAACGCCUGACGCAGCAACGCCGCGUGAGGGAUGAAGGUCUUCGGAUUGUAAACCUCUUUUCUCAGGGAAGAAUAAUGACGGUACCUGGGGAAUAAGCUUCGGCUAACUACGUGCCAGCAGCCGCGGUAAUACGUAG
rnacentral:rRNA from 1 species